rnacentral:snRNA from 1 species
UAAAAUUAGCAUGGCCCCUGUGCAAAGAUGACACACAAAUUCAUGAUGCAUGCCAUUAUUUA